UUGAGCGCUGGCGGCAGGCCUAACACAUGCAAGUCGAGCGGAUGAAGGGAGCUUGCUCCUGGAUUCAGCGGCGGACGGGUGAGUAAUGCCUAGGAAUCUGCCUGGUAGUGGGGGAUAACGUCCGGAAACGGGCGCUAAUACCGCAUACGUCCUGAGGGAGAAAGUGGGGGAUCUUCGGACCUCACGCUAUCAGAUGAGCCUAGGUCGGAUUAGCUAGUUGGUGGGGUAAAGGCCUACCAAGGCGACGAUCCGUAACUGGUCUGAGAGGAUGAUCAGUCACACUGGAACUGAGACACGGUCCAGACUCCUACGGGAGGCAGCAGUGGGGAAUAUUGGACAAUGGGCGAAAGCCUGAUCCAGCCAUGCCGCGUGUGUGAAGAAGGUCUUCGGAUUGUAAAGCACUUUAAGUUGGGAGGAAGGGCAGUAAGUUAAUACCUUGCUGUUUUGACGUUACCAACAGAAUAAGCACCGGCUAACUUCGUGCCAGCAGCCGCGGUAAUACGAAGGGUGCAAGCGUUAAUCGGAAUUACUGGGCGUAAAGCGCGCGUAGGUGGUUCAGCAAGUUGGAUGUGAAAUCCCCGGGCUCAACCUGGGAACUGCAUCCAAAACUACUGAGCUAGAGUACGGUAGAGGGUGGUGGAAUUUCCUGUGUAGCGGUGAAAUGCGUAGAUAUAGGAAGGAACACCAGUGGCGAAGGCGACCACCUGGACUGAUACUGACACUGAGGUGCGAAAGCGUGGGGAGCAAACAGGAUUAGAUACCCUGGUAGUCCACGCCGUAAACGAUGUCGACUAGCCGUUGGGAUCCUUGAGAUCUUAGUGGCGCAGCUAACGCGAUAAGUCGACGCCUGGGAGUACGGCGCAGGUUA
rnacentral:rRNA from 1 species